ensembl:lncRNA
CAAUUAUUCAGAUGUUGAGUUUUGGGGAAAAGCAAACCCUCACUUCCUAGUGACCAGUCAGGCGGCCAGGCCCUGCCAGCCCCAGGAACCCAAUAACUGCGACCGUCUGUUUCCACAGCGGCCCACCAGGCUGGCAGCGCUUCUCGCCUUUGCCUCCUGAUUCUGCAGUAAUUAGAAAUAGCAGUCCUCGCCACGUUGCGCUCCCCGGAGCACCCGGCUGGAUGCGCCGAACACAUGUAGCUGCGAGACCACCUGCCAGGAAGAGAAUAGAAGAAUCAUUUGCUGAACAUGGCAGGGGUGAUGGCUAAGGGGAUGAGCCGCUGCAUAGCAAAUAGCCGCCCCAUCUUCCCCAAAGCCCUAAAUAAUUUCUCCACUUGAAAAAAAAAAGAGAAAAUACACGAUUAAUUUUUCAUGUAGAUCAUCCCACUUGGAAGCGUAGGGAAGGGCUGCCGCAUACUAAGAGCCAAGCUUGAGCUUCCAAGUCACUGGCUAAGACACAGCCAGGGAGAGGGCGGAAAAAAGAAAACCCGUGGUGUCUACUUGUGGCGAGUGGUGCCUGCGGGGAAGGCACAGAAAGGAGGGCUCCUGCUUGCUCUCUCUCGCCUUUUAGGGUCCUGCUUCAGGCCCUGCAUGGUCCCGUCCACUAUCACAUUUGGUGCCAUAACACUGAGGGUUGGGUCGUCUUCUUUUUCUACACGAGGAAACCGAGACGCGGGGCAAUGGGGCCCAGAGGAGGCCCAGCAGGAUUUCAAGCCCAGCACCCACUUGCCUCCCGCACACCCACCACCACCGGCCGAGUCCCAGCAGGGCUGCUGGAACAAAAUGCUGCGGACCGGGUGGCUUAAAACAACAGAAAUGUAUUGGUUCACAGUCCCAAGACUGGAAGUUCAAAAGCAAGGUGUCAGCAGGGUCGGUUCCAUCUGAGGGCCCUGAGGAAGAAUCUGGGCCAGCCUCUUCCCAAAUUGUGUUUUUCCAGCUGUUGCCAGUGUGCUGGGACUUGGAGCGAGUGAGUUUGUGUGCGACUCCCUUAAAACAGUCUUGCUUUCCCACAGCCCUCAGGCUCUCCCAGACCUAAGCCCCUAUUGGUUUUCAAGGCCAGAUAUUGGGCUCCCUGGGCUGGGGAGCCCAAUGUGGGGCUCAGACCUCUCGCUCCUCAUGGGAAACCUCCACAACUGUGAUAUCCCUCCCGUUUGUGGGUGACUGCACUGAGGUGAUGGGUUCUGGCUAGAUUGUGUCUGUCCCUGCUAGCCAUCCUGGUGUGACCUUUUCUCUGUAUCUUUAGUUAUGGAAAAUCUGUUCUAUUCUGCUAAUUUUCAGGUUGUUCUCAGAAAGAGUUGUUCAAUUUGUAGAUGCAGUUUUGGUGUGUCCAUGGGAGGAGACAAGCUCAGGAUGCUCUACUCUGCCAUCUUGAUCUGGAACUUAUUUUGUUUCUUAAGCACCGUAAGCCUGUGACCUUCUCAAAACCUCUGUACAUACCUGAUGCUUAGAACGUCUCUCCAAGGUCUCCACUCUUUCUCGUCAUUCAGAUCUGAGUUCAAAUGCCACUCGCCUCCCUAGAGAGUCCCUCCCUGACCUCCUUAUCCCUGUCACCAACCCCAGUCACAUUUUAUCCCAUCAUCCAAUUGUCAUUUCUUCACAGAGAUUAUCUGGUUUUAUCUUGAUAGUUUAUGGG